rnacentral:rRNA from 1 species
UACGUAGGGACCAAGCGUUGUUCGGAUUUACUGGGCGUAAAGGCGCGUAGGCGGCAAUUCAAGUCAUCUGUGAAAUCUCCGGGCUUAACUCGGAACGGUCAGAUGAUACUGCUUUGCUAGAGUACAGAAGGGGCAAUCGGAAUUCUCGGUGUAGCGGUGAAAUGCGUAGAUAUCGAGAGGAACACCUGCGGCGAAGGCGGGUUGCUGGGCUGACACUGACGCUGAGGCGCGAAAGCCAGGGGAGCGAACGGG